CGGAUCCCUAGAACUCCAGGAGGAUCCCUGGCACAGGAGAGAAGGGGCCGUGCGCCGGGCGUGCGGUCGGGCCCCUGCGUUGGUGACUGUACCUGUGCUCUGGACCUCUCGGAGGCUGGGUUUCCCCCACCUCCUCGCUGAGGAGGAAACUCAGAGCUUCAGAGAUGAAAGGCGGGAGCCUCUCAGACAACCAGGAGGGAGGAGCACCAGGCUGACAAGAGCAGUCCUCUCCUGGAGGAAGGGACCGGGCCUGGGAGGAAGCGAAAUGGACUUUUUAUUCCAAUGCUGUGGGCAUUUCCCAGCUCCCACCUCUCAAUAUCGUGUCGGGAGCAAGAUGUGCUGGGGAGCAAGAACCCCAAGGCCCCCAAGCCAUUGAGGAGCCUCUGGAUGCUGGACAGCAGCAAGAGCAGCAUGAACAGUGUGAACCCAGGGCUAGCAACAUCUUCCCAAGAAGAAGCCCAAGGAACCGGGGCCACCAGAAGCAGAACCAAGUGAGAGGAAUGUGCCUCAGCCUGGGAGGCCCAGUCCACAGAUUGGGGUCUGCGUGGUUGCGGGAGGGGAUCCAGACACGCACAGGCGCAAGGCCCGGCACUGUGAACCGGAAACCCCACCUAUGCCAGGAGGCCCUGUGACAUGGUGAGAGUAGGGCAGGACGGACCCACCCUGGUGCUGUCUGGGGUGCCAAUUGGCGGUGGGCGGGGGGAGCCGUGGCGGAGAGCGGGCUAAAUGGACCAGAUGGGCCAGUCCCUUCUAGGGCCCAGAUAGACGGCAGAGGUGGGGCAGGGGGGACCGGGGAGGAGGGGGAGCUGGAGUAUGGGAUGCCCCCUCUCACUGACCAGCUGUUUGACUUUCACAGAGCCGCUAAGUCUCAGUUUCCCCAUCUGUAAAAUGAGAAGCAGAGUCUCCCCCUUCUGGGAAACCGGGGUUAGAGAGAAUAUCACAGAGCAGGGUCCUACUUGCCGGAGCCCCUCUACCCUAGAGGAGCUUUCCCCCCAUGUCUCCAGAAUGA
rnacentral:lncRNA from 1 species